UACAGAGGGUGCAAGCGUUAAUCGGAAUUACUGGGCGUAAAGCGUGCGUAGACGGUUAUGUAAGUCAGAUGUGAAAGCCCCGGGCUCAACCUGGGAAUUGCAUUUGAGACUGCAUAGCUAGGGUGCGGAAGAGGGAAGCGGAAUUUCCGGUGUAGCGGUGAAAUGCGUAGAUAUCGGGAAGAACACCAGUGGCGAAAGCGCUCUACUGGGCCAUAACUGACACUGAGGGACGAAAGCUAGGGGAGCGAAAGGG
rnacentral:rRNA from 1 species